rnacentral:telomerase_RNA from 1 species
CCGUGCCGGGGUGGGCAGGCCCUAUGGCCAACUAACCCUAAUGGCGGCCGCGCCCCUCACGCUCGCCCGCUGUUUUACUCGCUGACUUUCAGCGGGCAAAGGAAGCGGCCCAGGGGAAGGGGUGGGGGAAAAGAGUUCCGGCCUCAAAAAAAGCCAGCGAAGGGGGAUCCACACCCCGGCCCACCCUGGGGUCCCUGUCCCUUCUCCGCAACCGGGGAUGCUCCUGCCCUCGCCCCUGUGGAGGCCGCGGUCGGCGGGCUCAGCGCCACUGCCGCCGCGAAGAGUUCGGCUCUGUCAGCCUCGGCGGCGGCCGGGAGCAGAGGACCGGCGCGCCCACCCUGGGCAGCCGGGGGACCCCAGCAGAAUAAAACGGGCGCGGCGCCGCUGGGCGCUGAGCAGCCGCGCCCCCUGAGACGUGGGGUGCGCGGCCGGCGCCGCCCCGACACCC